UACAGAGGGGGCAAGCGUUGUUCGGAAUUACUGGGCGUAAAGGGCGCGUAGGCGGCCUGCUAAGUUGAACGUGAAAUCCCCGGGCUCAACCCGGGAACUGCGUCCGAGACUGGCGGGCUUGAAUCCGGGAGAGGGAUGCGGAAUUCCAGGUGUAGCGGUGAAAUGCGUAGAUAUCUGGAGGAACACCGGUGGCGAAGGCGGCAUCCUGGACCGGCAUUGACGCUGAGGCGCGAAAGCCAGGGGAGCAAACGGG
rnacentral:rRNA from 1 species